GACGAACCGUGCGAACGUUAUUCGGAAUCACUGGGCUUAAAGCGCGUGUAGGCGGGACGGCACGUCCGUCGCUGAAAUCCCCCGGCUCAACCGGGGAACUGGCGGGGAUACGACCGUCCUGGAGGGACGUAGGGGGGCCUGGAACUUCCGGUGGAGCGGUGAAAUGCGUUGAGAUCGGAAGGAACGCCCGUGGCGAAAGCGAGGUCCUGGACGUUUUCUGACGCUGAGACGCGAAAGCCAGGGGAGCGAACGGG
rnacentral:rRNA from 1 species